rnacentral:rRNA from 1 species
UUGCAGAAUUCCGCGAAUCAUCGAGUUUUUGAACGCAAGUUGCGCCCGAGGCUUGACCAAGGGCAUCUCUGCCAGAGCGUCACCGCGACACCCACCGAUCCAAC